rnacentral:lncRNA from 1 species
UCGAUUUUCAUCUCUUCUCUGUGACCUUUGUGGUUAAUUGCUAGUGGGUAUAUUAUUGUACUUCAUCUUCCCAACCUAUAGCAAUUGGAAGUGGGGCGUCCUUGGUGGUGGUAUUGGAGUUGUCUUAAUCCUUGGUGGUGUCGACUAAAUAGGUGAAACUGAGCCUGAUUUGAACUUGGUGUUUGCUGGAAAUAGGCACUACAACUGGUAUCAGAGCUUGAGUCACCUUCUUCGGCCAGAAAACCACCAAAAAUGACGGCGGUGUGCGUGAUUUAUAUAGAGGACUGAACCUGCAAUCGCGUUUUCCGGCCAAACCAGUAACUUUCCGACGAAAUCGACCCCAUACCCGGAACCAGCAGGUUGAGGCACCCCUUCCAGUGCGGUGCAUGGUGGCGGCGGCAACUCCGGCGGUGGUGCGUGGGAUUCCGGUGGCGACGCGUGGCGGCGAUUUCGGGUGAACUUCCUUCGGGCAGUUUGCUCAUUUCAAUCUCCUGAACGCACUGACACUGUUUAUUUUCUAUUUCAGGUUACAUAGAAAUAGUUGGACAAUUUUGCCUCUGGUGGAUCGACGGUUGAAACUGCAUAUAUCUACUGAAUUACUUUAGGCCAAGAUUGCGGCUCUAAAGCAGUAGAUUCGCAUCUCUCUCGAUUAUACGGAUUCAGACACGUCCGCUCUGGUACAUUGGCUUAACCCGUUAAUCAGCAUUAGCGCGUCACCGUGUGGGGUGACAAUAGGUUGGGGGUUGUCAUUACUUGGUAACCAUUGCUUAUGCUAGAAUUAGGGUUACGUGCUCUAGAUUGUUUUUUGAUUGAGUAUUUGUUUUUGGGUUAAAAUUAGUUUUGUAAUUCUUAGUGAUCUAAUUACUGUGAGACUAGUUAUCUGCUAGACGUAUUUUUUGUUGCAUUGUUAUUUUCACUGUUUACUUAUUUGUUUUUUAGAAAUACCGUGACCUUACUCGUUCGAACAUUCCCUUGAUCUAAGACCGCGAGUUUUACGAAACCCUGGGAAUCUAGAAUGGUGUAUACUGUCUGUGACCCUAGGAUUACUUUGUGUGGUUUGAUUGUGGUUUGUACAUUUUUUGACUGUUGUGUAAAGAUGACAACUCACAACUUUGAUUUGGGAAUUUUUAAUGGAAAGGGUGGCUUUGCUAUUUGGCAACAAAAAAUGAAGGGCAUUUUAGUCCAACAAAAGGUUUCAAAGGCCAUUGAAGGCAAUUUUUCAACUGAUUUUUUCACAAGAGCAAAGAGAAGAAGUCGAUGAGCUUGUUUAUACCUCAAUUAUUUUACACUUGUCUGACACCAUUUUAAGAAAGGUGGGUAAACUGAAAACCACUAAAGAAUUUUGGAAAAAAUUAGAAGACUUGUAUUUGUUUAAGUCUACAUCGAAUAAACUUUACCUGCUUGAACGUUUUUUUAGUUUCAAAAUGGAUCCUUCAAAAGAUCUUGAUGACAAUUUAAACGUGUUUAACAAAUUGGUGCAAGGUAUAGUUAAUUGUGAUGAGACUUGUCUGAAACUUAUAAGGCUAUAAUUUUGCUCAAUGUAAUUCCUGAUUCCUAUAAGGAAGUUAAGAACGCCAUUAAGUAUGGUAGAGACACGUUAACACCUAAAAUUGUCAUAGAUUCCCUUAGAAGUAAAGAAAUGAAAAUUAGGGCUGAAAAACAUGAUAAGAGGAACGGUGAAGUACAUAUGAUGCGGGGUAGAACUCAAUUUAGGCAAAAUAGUCAUGAUGGAUAUCAAACUAGUGGCGAGUCAAGUGGUAAUGGAUGAAAAAAGAAGAGCAAAUGUAGGUCUAGAUAAAAAUCUAGGACUAAGGCGAGAAAAUGCUAUGAUUGUGGAAACACAUGGCAUUUUAUAAAAGAUUGUCAUAAGGAGAAAGGUAAGCUAAAGGUUAAGGAGAGAGAUAAGGUAAAUGUGUUAGCAUUUACUUUCGAUAUAAAUGGUGGUGAGGUCUAUAUGAUUACAAGUCCAGUUGCAUACACUGCUGAAUUAAAUCUAACUGCUAAUUUCCACAUGCAUGAGUGGAUACUUGACUCUGGUGCAUCUUUUCAUGUGACGUCUGAUAAGAAUUGGUUUUAUAAGUUGCAUGAAUCUAAUGUUGGGCAUGUUGUACUGUGUGAUAUAUUCCUGAAUUGUCUAGGAAUCUGAUUUCAAUAGGGAGACUUGAGAAGGAUGACUUUACUGGUAAAAUUGGAAAUUGUAUGCUAAAAAUGAUCAAGUGUGCUUUAGUUUCCAUUAAGGGAAUUAAGAAAAACGAUAUAUAUAUAUAUAUUGCUACUAGGGAAGUGAUUAGAUGUGUGAAUUCCUCUAUCUCCUCUGCCAAGAUUGAUCACACACACACACGACAUAAUAGACUUGCUCACGUAGGGGUCAAGGGACUUAAACUACUUAACGAAAAAGGUACUUUUGGUAAUGACUGUGUGUUAGAUUUGCCAUUUUGUGAUCAUUGUGUGCUUAGUAAGUAUCAUAAAAUUUCUUUCUCCACGAGUAUUAAUAGAGCUAAAGGUAUGCUCGAAUAUGUGCACUCUGAUCUAUGGGGUCUUGCUAGUAAUCCCACAUCGGGUGAGAAUAGGUAUUUCCUGUUUAUUAUCGAUGACUACACUAGGAAAGUGUGUGUCUAUCUUUUGAAGGAUAAAUCUGAGACCUUUAAUAGUUUUAACAAUUGGAAAAGACAAGUGGAAAACCAAACUGGCAAGAAAAUCAAAUUUUUAGGACAGAUAACGGUCUAAAAUUUCGCAAUAAAGAAUUUGAUAGUAUGUGUAAAGAAAGCGGUAUAACUAGACAUAAGACUGUUCCUUACACUCCUCAGCAAAAUGGGGUAGCAGAAAGGAUGAAUAUGACCAUACUCGAUAAAGUAUUUUACAUGGUGAUUAGUUCUGGUAUUCCCAAGUUAUUUUGGGGUGAGGCUGUUAUGACCGCUUGUUAUUUGAUUAAUCUAACUCCUUCUGCUGCAUUGAAUGGUGACACUCCGCAUGAGAGAUCGUCGGGUAAACUGAGUGAUUACUCGAUACUUAGAAAUUUUGGCAGUACAGCUUUUUCUCAUCAAAGUGGGGGUAAGUUGGAACCUAGAGUUAGGAAGUGUGUCUUUCUAAGAUACCCCGAGGGUGUUAAGGGUUAUAGGUUAUGGGAUAGAAGCCAAAAAGGGGUUAAAAUCAUCAUAAGUAGAGAUAUCACGUUUAACGAAAAUGAGAUGUCGUGUAUUAAAGGGGAAACUGAACCUGAGAGUGAAGCUGAACCAGGUGAAGAGAGAUACCAGUUUAAGGUGGAGUUAGGAAAACUCAGUCCACCUGCCCCUACUGUUUCAAAUGAGGUGGAUACUCAAACUCAGGAACCCGAGGUGGAGAAUAGUAACGUAAUAGUGACAGAAGAGCACUAUGAGGAAGAAAAUCCUUUAGCUAACUAUACUUAGUUAGGGAUGGAGAGAGGAGACAAACGAGAUAACCUAGAAGGUUCGGUUUUGAAUCUGAAUUAGCUUUCGCCCAUGCUAGUUAUGAAGAACUAGCUGAUAAAGAGCCAAAGACCUUUGAAGAGGCAAUAGGCAGUGAUCAAUCUAAUGAAUGACUUAAGGCAAUCAAAGAAGAGAUGAGUUCUCUAGAAAAGAAUCACACUUAGGAGCUAGUACCUAGGCCUAAGAACAAAUCAAUUGUUGAUUGCAAAUGAGUCUUGAAGGUUAAGGAAGGUUCUAGCAGCUCGAAACUCCUAAGGUUUAAAGUUAGGUUAGUAGCUAAAGGCUAUACACAGAAGGAGGACGUUGAUUAUAAUGAAAUUUUCUCACCAGUUGUUAAGUACACCACUAUUAGGGUCAUGCUCGCAUUGGUUGCACACUUUGACUGGGAACUUGAACAACUUGACGUAAAAACUGUUUUUUUACAUGGUGAGCUUGAUGAACAAAUUUUCAUGAAUCAACCAAAAGGUUUUAAGAAUAAGUCAAAACCUGAUUAUGUGUGUUUUCUGAGAAGAUUCUUGUAUGGGUUAAAACAAUCUCCUAGACAGUGGUACAAGAGGUUUGAUUCCUUUGUACUCACUAUAGGGUUCCAAAGAAGUAAAUUUGAUCACUGCCUGUAUUUUUAACACAAUGAGACUGAUGAUAAUUAUCUAUUUUUGUUGCUCUAUGUGGACGACAUGCUGUUGAUUGGAUCAUCCUCUAAUUGGAUAAAUAACAUAAAAGCAAAAUUAAGUGGUGAAUUUGACAUGAAAGACCUAAAUAAGGCUAAGAGAAUCUUAGGUAUUGAAAUCGAAAGAAAUAGGUCAAAUUUUGUAUUGUUUUUGCAUCAGUCUCCAUACAUAUACAAAGUAUUGAAAAAAUUUAAUAUGAGUGAUUGCAAAUCUGUCACGUUACCUCUUGCUAAUCAUUUUGUUUUAUCGAAGGAACAAUCCCCUUGCAAUGAGCGUGAAGUAGAAUACAUGAGUAGAGUGCCUUACUCUAAUGUGAUUGGUUCCAUAAUGUAUUUGAUGGUUUGCACUAGACCGAAUUUAGGUUUUGCUGUUAGUACUCUCAGUAGAUAUAUGGCUAAUCCGGGCACUGAACAUUGGGAAGUACUAAAGUGGCUAUUAAAGUACUUGAAGAGUACAAGUGACGUAGGUUUAAAGUUUAGUGAUAAUAAAGAAGAUAUAAAAUUAAAGGGUUUUAUAGAUGCUGACUACGCGAGAGAUAGGGAUGGUAGGAAAUCUACUUCGUCUUACGUGUUUACCUUAUCUAAUUCAUGUGUUAGUUGGAAAUCACAGUUACAACAUAUUGUUGUACUAUUCACUACAGAAUCAGAAUAUAUUGCUACCACUGAAGCUAUUAAAGAAGCUCUAUGGUUUAGUGGCCUUCUUCAUGAACUAUGUGUCUUGAAUGAUUAUAUGGUAGUGUAUUCUGAUAGUCAGUCAUCUAUAUAUUUAUGCAAGAACCCCGUUUUUCACGACCCCACUAAAUACAUUGAUGUUAGACUUCACUUCAUUAGAGAUAUAGUAUCUCAAGAGGUGGUAAGACUUGAAAAGGUCCACACCUACUACAACCCCUCUGAUAUGGGGACGAAGGUACUGCCAUUGACAAAGUUUAGAAGUUACAAGGAACUUCUAAACAUUGGUAGGUAAAUGAUUUCCAAUUUUAUCGGUUUUCUAUUAGAGGUGUCACUAAUGGGAGAUUUUUUAUUUUUUUUUUUUAUUUUUUUUCUGCAGGUCCUUGGACACCAAGGUGGAGGUUGUUAUGCAAUUUGUUGUCAAACGACCCCCCGGACUAUGAUGUAACCUCGGUUCUAUUAUCAAUCGACCUUGGUCAUAUGAUUGAUUAGUAUAUCUACACAAUUAUCGAGACAACUCAAUCCACAUUCCUAUGGACCGUUCAAAGCAACCUAUUGUUAAUAGUGUUGCUCACGGUUCGUCUCAUUUCCUUGGAAGGCUAUGUUAUUAAUUUGAAGCCCAUUAAUAUUGAGUCGAGCGUUGUUUGGUCCACUAAAUAACCCUAACCUAACUUACCUUGUUUGGAUAUUUUACUUGGCUUAUAUUCUUGUCUUCCUCUCGGCCUCUAAUGUAGAAUGCCCAACCUCUCUCUGUGAGACUCACCUCUAGGUUUUCAUCUCUUCUUUGUGACCUUUGUGAUUAAUUGCUGGUGGGCAUAUUAUUGUACUUCAUCUUCCCAACUAUAGCAACCGGAAGUGGGGCGUCCUUGGUGGUGGUAUUGGAGUUGUCUCAAUCCUUGGUGGUGUCGACUAAAUAGGUGAAAUUGAGCUCGAUUUGAACUUGGUGUUUGCUGGAAAUAGGCACUACACUCCUAAAUUGUUUUCUUGUAUUCAUUGUUUCUAAAAUAUUUGUCUUAUUCUAUCAAUCUUCAGAGAUAGAAUAUGACCUCUCUUAUGUUCUCUCCUCUUUGUAUUUUGGGUUGUCUUCGCUAGUGUACAAGUUAGCCAACUUAUUUGUUUUAUUAUAUCCUGGAGGAAAUUUUCGUUUUAGCAUAAGUACAUCACAUUUUAAUGGGGACAAAUACUAUCUUAACGAGAACAACUGAGCCACGGGCCUUGAAACAUUUCCAUUCAAGAAUAUUUGUAGCUGUUCAAGAGGUUUCUUCCACUACAAGUUGGGUAUGAUUACUACACUGAAGAGUUCAGCACCAACACAAAAAAAAAAAAUAAAUAAAAAAUAAAAUAAAAAAUAAAUAAAUAAUAAACCCAACCCUACAGCACUAAGAAUAAAAGAAUCUAAGUACUCCCAGUAAAUGUUGAUGUUGGUAAUCAUCUGAUUGUCUACAGUUGUACGUGUCGAAACUUGAAACAAAAUUAGAAAUUUUAGAAUUUGAAAACCUAAAUUCCUUUAUUACCAAGAUCCUCCAUAUCAAAU